AACGAACGCUGGCGGCAGGCCUAACACAUGCAAGUCGAACGCUCCGCAAGGGGAGUGGCGCACGGGUGAGUAACACGUGGGAACCUACCUUCUGGUACGGAACAACCAAGGGAAACUUUGGCUAAGACCGUAUACGACCUCCGGGUGAAAGAUUGAUCGCCGGAAGAGGGGCCCGCGUCCGAUUAGGUAGUUGGUGAGGUAACGGCUCACCAAGCCUUCGAUCGGUAGCUGGUCUGAGAGGAUGACCAGCCACACUGGGACUGAGACACGGCCCAGACUCCUACGGGAGGCAGCAGUGGGGAAUAUUGGACAAUGGGCGCAAGCCUGAUCCAGCCAUGCCGCGUGAGUGAUGAAGGCCUCCGGGUUGUAAANCUCUUUCACCCACGACGAUGAUGACGGUAGUGGGAGAAGAA
rnacentral:rRNA from 1 species